rnacentral:rRNA from 1 species
AGGAUGAACGCUGGCGGCGUGCCUAAGACAUGCAAGUCGAGUGGGUUUAGACCCACGGCGAACGGGUGAGUAAUACCUAGGAACGUAUCUUUAGUUGAGGAUAUCCUCCCGAAAGGGAGAGCAAUACUCAAUGUGGCCGCAAGGCUAAAGUCGCAAGACGCUAAAGAAGCGGCCUGGGCACCAUCAGCUAGUUGGUAAGGUAAAAGCUUACCAAGGCUAUGACGGUUAGGGGUCCCGAGAGGGAUAACCCCCACACUGGAACUGCGACACGGUCCAGACUCCUACGGGAGGCAGCAGUUUGGAAUUUUGGACAAUGGGCGAAAGCCUGAUCCAGCGACGCCGCGUGGACGAUGAAGGCCUUCGGGUUGUAAAGUCCUUUUGCUCGGGAACAAUUUUGAGCGUACCGAGAGAAUAAGAGGUUGCUAACUCUGUGCCAGCAGCCGC